UGUUACUAUUUUUUUCUAUAAAUUUAGUUACACCUUUUCCUUUUUCUUAUAUAUUUUCUAGAAAAAAUACCAUCGGUACUAACGAAAACCUACUACGUGCCAUCAAAAUUUUCUAAAUUUGAAAACAUACCACUACCGUACGUCACUGCCGUCACAAUUUCUGUCCCCUUCCCCCAAUCCCAUGGCCAUGGAGAAGCUCUGUUCGUGCCGCUGGUGGCUGCUUCUUGGUUCCGGCAAGAAGGGCGAGAGCAGGCGCGGGCAGCUGGUGGCCAGCGGCGUACUGCGCGCGGGAACGUGGUGUGGAUGCGGCAAGCUAGCUCCCCCUGCCGGCGCUUCCCUAGCUUCUCGUAUGUAAUGGUCGAUCGAACGCCCCUCUCGAUCGCACGCAAGAACUGCUUCAAUUUCUACCACUUAUUUGUUGAAUUUGUGGAUGGUUUCUUGGUCAAUUUUGAUUAGUCGACGUUCGAUCGGCAUGGCGAGUGUGCUGGCGUGCGGCAGCACCAACUUCUCGGGUCUACAAGGAGCGCGUCAUGCUGGUGCUAGCUGUUCGUGCCGUUGGGUAGAGUACAUGUCGUCGUGCCUUCUAGUCUAGUGAUGGCUAGCUACAGCUUCACUCCGGCGCGCGAGCCACGUCGUACGUAGUGUGCUGGGCCUGGGCGCAGGUGGCGAGCUUCGCGAAGAAGAACGGCUCGGGCGGCGGCGGCGGGUCGCCACCCCAUGCGUGCGGCAACCAUUGGUGGCGUGGCAGGUGUCUCCCUGCAGCUCCGCGACGAGGCGAGCUGUGCCUGUGAGAAGCCGAUGGCGACGAUCUACUGGAGACUUGCGGCCGUGCGGAAGGAGGAGAUAGUUCGGAAAGUAUUUUUAGCACCUAGGUGCUGCGGCACCUAGGCUAGAAACCACACGAUGGUUUAAAGAUUCGUGCGUCAAAUAGUAUACGGAGAUGUUAGGAAUUUAGGAUCGUAUUUUCUUUAUUUUGAGUGCACGCUCGAAAUACAGCGCUGGCCCACCUGAAGAUUCGUAUGUGGGUUGUUGUGGGGGGGGGACCAAUACGUGUGUAUGACACCUCCUAUUCUCGUCCAGAUUCUCAAGAGUUAUCGGGACCGAAUCGCCACCCGCCGCCGCCGCGGCCGCUCGCCGCUAGCCGGCCGCAUCCCCGUUGCAUCUUCCUUUGGCGGAAGCGGCACUCCAUCCAGUCUCGCCGAGUCUCCGGCCGAGGACUUCCAUCAGUUCUUCAUCCGUGCUGUGAGCGGAUGCCGGCAAGACGACACGAGCUGAGCCGAGGCAACAAUACGUUAAGGUCAGCAAAACAAUCAAUUUCUUCCCCUGCCGCACAAGCACGCAUUCUUUUGUCGCCGCCGCCACGGAAGAACUCUAGGGCUUUCAAUUCUUCAGCAAACGGCGAACGAUUUUAUCCAUGGUUGUUUUUCCCUACAUUUUGCUGGAGGAAAGAAAGAAACCACACCAGAUCUGUUUUUUUUUUGCACAUUUUUUUUAGAUCAAAGGCUUCACGCCCGGCUUUACUGAGAUAAAGGCUUCACUUUUUUUUGGCACAUUCUGAUCUACUGAAAUGAAUUUUCAAUUUCUUUUGCA